CUUACCCUACCCUCUGAUUUACAAUAUUGAAAAUUAAUUAUGAAUUAUUACCAUUUACUGCCCAAAAUUCACGAAUUUAGGUCUGUUGUUGUUGGUUGUCACAAGUAAUUUUAUUACAAUACAAAUAAUUCUAUAAAAGAUAUGGAUUUUAUAUCUUACCUUUCUUUCUUGAAACAUUUUUUUGAAAAAUAGUAAAAUUUUAUUAUUAUUUUAUAGAACUAUUUGUAUUGUAAUAAUACAACGUGUGAGAAGGGUAUGAUAACAAUAUUUGAAUUAGAGAAAUGUUAACAAGUACUAUUCAUCUAAAACUAAUAGCGUAUUCGACUGGCUGCACCAGUGCGAAUUAAUUCGAAUUUUUGUCGAAUCACAGCAGUGCUAAAACGCUCCAGCACCGAACAAGAGCUAUUCAGUCAAAUGCACUAUUAUUGUAAUGAUGAUCAUACUUCAAGAGAAUGGCAACCUAUAGAAUUCCAUAAAAUAUAAAUUGCUCAUUUUGUGAGAAACGUGAAAAGUAACGAUCCUGAGAGCCCUUCAUUUAACUCAAAGUUUUUUCACAGGAGUAUAAGAAAAUGGAUAAUUACACAAGAAUGAAAUGAAAUGACGAGCGGUCAUUCAACCCAAUCAGCUGCUGUAAAUUUUUUCGAAUCCGUUUACGAGUGUUUGGAUAGGAACCUGUCCGUGGCAGGUCUAUUUUUUGACUUAUCUUCGGCUUUUGAUACACUUUCUUUCGAGUUCAUACUCGAAAAGUGCUAUAAUUUGGGCUUUAGGGGCGUAUUCCUGGACUGGUUGCAUAGUUACCUAAAUGAGAGAACUAUGUCUGUUAAAGUAGGAUCUACUUAUUCUGAAAAUCACGAUAUUGGUCUUGGAGUUCCUCAGGGAUCCGUGCUAGGACCCCUUUUAUUUAUAUUAUUUAUAAAUGAUUUGCCUAUAAAAUGAGCUUCUUUCUUAAUAACGCUAUUUGCUGAUGAUGCGUCUGUGGUGGUUUCUGGCGGGAAUCCUGAGGAACUUCGGAGUACCUGUGAAUUUAUUAUGUGGGAAUUUGUAAACUGGUGCCGCUCAAACAAUUUGAUGGUGAACGUUGAUAAAACUGUAUGCGUUUACUUCUCUAUAAAAAAUAAUGAAGUUAGUACCUUUAGUUUGAAAUGUGGGGAUAACACUAUCACAACAUCAGAAACAACUAAAUUUCUUGGAAUCCAUGUGGACAGAAAUUUAAGAUGGACUACUCAUAUUGACGUGUUAUGUAAAAAAUUAAACAGUUCAGUGUUUGCAAUCGCUAGAAUUAGGAAUGUUUUACCUAGGUCCUCUGUAAUGAGUGUAUACUACAGCCUGGUAUAUAGCCAUCUGUCUUAUAACAUUUUGCUCUGGGGAAGUAGCCCUGACUUCUCCAGAGUUUUUGUAGCUCAGAAACGAGUAUUACGUACAAUAUUCAACCUCAAUAUGUUAGCGUCUUGUAAGCCAGUCUUUAUUGGGAAUGGAAUCUUAACCCUACCCUCGAUAUACAUUUUCAAAUGCUUACUAUACGCAAAGGAAAAUGAAGACAAAUGGAUGAAAUUAUCAAGUCAUCAUAAUUAUGUAACUAGAAAUACGCAAAUUUUUCUAUUACCUAAACGUAGGACCCAUAAAUUUGAAUGCUCUCCAUUGUACCGAAGUAUUAAGUUAUACAAUCAUUUGCCACCAUCUGUGAAGUCUUUGAAUUUAAAAUUGUUCAAAAAAGAAAUCAAGAACCUCCUCUUAAAAAAAGGUUUCUAUUCUGUAAAUGAGUAUUUAUGUGACUCCUUAGUUGUUUAGUUUUCUUAUUGUGACCUGUCCUAUACACCAUGUAGUGUCUUAAAGGAUUAAAUAAAAUUAUUAUUAUUAUUAUCAUAAGAGCUUCCCCUAAAAUUUGACAUACUAAGGAUAAAAUAAUUACAAGAUUAGCAGAGCUAUAAUUUUGCUUUACUUUGGUCCCCCUAAAAAAAAUAAGGCCACCCCUGUUUUCCAAAGCUGGCAUCGCCACUGGAUGUGACAACUCAAUGCCAUAUGAUAAAUAAAUAAUAUAUAAGUACAA